AACCUCUUUUUUAUUUAUUUCAACAGUUGAUCGUAACUGUUAUUUUUUAUAUCUCAACAUGUUGAUUAUGUGGUGGCUGAAGGAUUCAAGAGCGGGUUGUGUUGAUCAGAAAUCAUGAGGGAAAUUUUGGAAGUUUUGCACAACACCUCGUCUCUACCGAGGGUAGCUUAAGUCCUACUGGUUGUUAUUGAAGAUGCUCCGAUUGGUAUCAUAUUGGUCAGCAGUUGUUUACCAGCUUCGUGAAGGUAAUUAUGCUCAGCAUAACAUGGACUGUUGGUUAGAGGGAGGCCGAUGUCUUAUUGGUUAUUGUCAAGUUUGAGGAUUGAAAGAAGAAGAAGAAAAUCCUGUAAGCAUAAGCUCAAGCACAAGACAUCAAGAUCAAGCUCUGCCUCAUCAUCUCCAAUCAAUUCUGAAUCAUAAGAAUCAGAAAGAUUUAAGUCGAAUUUCGUCUUGUUAUUUGUUACAUGACUACAAGUAGAAUGGGCAGUAGUAGCAUCUGUGGCGUCUCUGACUGCCCCCAGGGAUGAAGGACUUCUUGUACCUUUGAUGUCAUUGUUCUUCAUCGCCAGGUUUGCCUUGUACUUUUUGAUAAUGCGGUGGACUUGUGUACAAUCUCGGGGCCAAGUCUCUGGUUUGGUCUUCUGAGGUUUGAAGAUGAUCAUGCACACAACGGUACCACAAAGUGUUGAAAGCUCGUCCGCCUUCUUACCACAAAUUCCUUUCCCGAUCCCGGAGAAGCUUUCUUCAAUUGUACCAGAAACCGAAGAACAAUUGUCACUUCAGUUUAAAACUGCUUUUUUCUUAUGAGCUCUUCAAAAUUGUUUAGUUUCUGACUUUCCUGAAAGCACUAGGUUCCAUAGAAGCCUUGACAAUGUUCGACGGCAUUGGAGCCGCCUAGUCCUUCCCUCCCGGCAUCAACUCUCUCAAGCGUCUCUCAGAUCAGCUCGCUGCUCUGUCUUUGAUUCCCAAGAAGAUCAGCUCGCUUUUCUCUGCACAUUAAUCCCUUCGCUUCCUGCAAUGCUCCUCCGAUUCUGAUUACAGGCUUACCAAGUUGAAUUGGAGUAAUUGGGGGUUGAAUUAGACGAGAAGAACGAGCGGCAUUUGAAAGAGAAGGGCGUUUUCUUGCUUGCAGAGCUGAAGAAACCCAGACGAUAAACACGCCGUAUAGAACUUGACCUAUGACUGCACCUUUGGUGUUUACUGGACUGAAUGCCAUUUUAGUUUCAACCAUUGCUCCUGUCUAUGAUUUUGUCUGCUUUCUUCCUUUUUGGGAAAGACGGGUUUUUUUUACUAAUGCUACUGUGGAGACGGACAAUCCUGAUCUGAGAGAUCGUGCAUACAUAUAUUGGCGCCUUCUAUCAACUGAUCCUGAGGUGGGUUUUGUCUAAUUAUGUGUAUAGUGUCUAAUUAAUGUCUGCUGCUAGUUAGUAACUAAUAAUAAUGUAUAAUUAGUUGUAGUUGCGUUAUGUAUGAAAUGUGCCAGAACAUAAAAAACAAACUUCGAAAUAAGAUGGAAGAUGAGUUUUUUGAUGAUUUGAUGAUUCUCUACAUCGAAAAAGAAUUUGCCGAUAGCAUUGAUAAUGAUUCUGUGAUUGCUGAGUUUGAACUCAGUGGGUCUAGGAGGGUACGAUUUAGUUAGUUUAUUGUUAUUUUACAACAAAUGUAUGCUUGUAGUUUUUAAUUUACGGGGUUUGGUUUUAUGUCCCCUCCGUUGUAUGUUUUGAUCCAAAAUAAUAAAGGCGUGAGGAUGAGCCUCCCACUGAGUUCCAAACCUCAAAAAAAAAAAAAUUAUUGUGCCCUUCUAAUUAGCCUAGACAGGAAUUUGAUCCUGGUUCCGCCACUGGUUCAAUGAUUGCACAAUCUUUUUACCUAUACCUGUAGUUAUGAUGGGGUUCUAUUUUUAUAUUGUGUGCACCACAAAACAUGCUUAAGCUGAUUGAAAUUUCUACACAAGGUGUUUAAACAUAGAACUGACAUUAAGCUAGUUGUCUCUUAGGCUCUAGGCAUCUAUGAAAUCAUACAUGCCUUUAACGAUUUUUAAAUAUUUAAUUCAUCUUAGGUGUUCUGCUUCUUCCUUAUAUCAAUAGUAAAACAAAUUUGUGAAAAAGAAGUAACGAGAGGGAAUGCUUUGACUGUCAGAAAGUUCUUGUCUCACCAACUUGGAUCACAUAUUUCAAAAUUUAAUGAUAUCCGGCUGAAAAGAAGGUAGUAGAAAAAACUGUAAAUGCAAAAAGGUUGAAUUGGUGACGUCCACUUGGCCGACCAAUGUUGCUCACAGAAUGUAGUUGCCUCCUUCCAUUUUGUGGGAUUUUUGCUGGUCCUGUAUGCCUGAAGGUACCCUUAAUCGUGUAGUCAAAACAUAGUAUUUAAACCUAAAGGAGUACUAUUUAUCUGAUUGUGGUAAUCGGAGGUGCACUCAUAUCUGUACCCUCCUUUCUCCUUUUUGUACAUUGGUUGUUAUGGUUUCAUGUAGGAGCUUACUAUUUUGUGUACUCUUCCAACAUAUGUACGUUUCAAUGUCCCUUGGCAAUUUAAUCAGCAAUCAUAGAUACAUAUAACAAAUAGGCCCACUUCGACAGGCAAAAACUAGGGAUCCAAUUCAUUCACUUUUUCUGAGUUUGUUCUUGUAGGGAACCUACUGCAAAUAAUUAAGAUUGCACUAUUUCUUUCGCCAAUGCAAAGGUAAGAUUAUGAUUUAUGAGUGGUGGGCUAGCUAAGAUUCUCCUCCUGGGGAAUUGCGACUGUCCUCUGCAAAACUGAGAUAAAUUCAUUGCUGUUUUUAGUUAAACUAAGGCCUAGUCUUUUAAGUAUUACAUUGUGAGCAUUAUUAAUACAAGAAACAACAAUUUGUCAAGAACAUAUGUAUUUCAAUCAACUGCGCGCAACUCAGAUGUUCUCGCAAUUUCUGUUAAGAGCACUUGUUUUAAAGUUUUAUAGUAGUGUUGUUUGUUUUGGCUGAUUCUUAACUGCCAGUAUAUCCUAUACAUAUCCACUAUAUACGUAGCACUUUCUCAAACCGAAACCCUCUGUUAAUCAUUCUGGGUUUACCUGUGGGCAUCCACACUCGUUAAAUAACUCUAAAGUUAUGUUGUAGCAACCUUCACUAUGCUUUAUGUGAAGUUGCAAACUACAUAGUGUUUACCUGGUCAGUUGCUGACCAAAGAAUUUAUGCUCAACAACCCUUAUAUUUACAUCCAAGGGUGGAAAACAAAACACCUUAACUUAAUAAUAAUUCUCUCUGCCCUUGGAUUUACAUCUAAAGGUGGUUGAUCAUUAUUUUCUUAGUCAAUAACUGACCAGGUGAACAUUUUCGCAUGCUUAUUAUCGGAUUGGAUUGGAUUGGUUAUGUUAUUCAGUUAUUGCUAAUCCUGCUAAUCAAUGCGAUGCGUUCUGUCGUUUAAGACUCAAAUGUGAUCGGUCCUUUAAUACUCAAAUGUCAUCCAUAAUUUAAUAUAACCAACUAAAACCACUUUAGAUAAUAUUGGAUUGCAUCUGUUAGUUCUUCUUGUAGAUUUUCUUUUACAUCCUUACAUCUUGUAUCCUUGUGGUUUUCUUCUUUCAGAGGGAACGACUUCGUCAGGAACGUCAACCUACUUUAUUAAAGAGUUUGGAAUCAAGAUAGUAGUAUUGAUUACAGUUUUUUUUUUUCAGUCUGUUAUACUAGUUGCAGUUAAAAUUUUUUGAUGUAUUUAGACUUUCUUAGAUCUUAGUGUAGAAAGAUACAAUAGGUAAUGAAGCUUUUGCUUUUGCCAAUGACACAUGAGAUGCUCUCUCUUUGAUGUAUCUUUUAACUUACUGUUAAAUUACUCCCUUACA